rnacentral:lncRNA from 1 species
AUCCAACAUAAGAGAAUGAAUAAAAAAACAGAAUGUUCAGAAGACCUGAGGCUAUUGGGAUAAACCGUAAUCGUACCCCCUCCUAACUGCCAAAGUGUCAUGGCCGCCGUCGGGACCUAUUGUGCUGACAUUUACAAUGUUUACAUAUAGAAAAGUUUGUUUUUUUUCUGCUUAUAAUGCCGUUUUCUAAAGAUAUUAGUGAACAAAAUCGAUUUGCUAACAAUAUUUAAUAUAUUUUAAAUGUGCUAAAAUUGGAUUCAACAGCAAAAGUCGCAUAAAUAACAUAUAAAUAACGAAUUUGUUUACCUAUUACAAAUGGGGUUAUGUGGUUGUAACUGUUUAUUUUGGGAAUAAAAUGAAAAUGAUCAAUUAAACGACUGGAAAACUAUAGUGAAGUGAAGAACAUCUUGAAGUUCCAAUGAUGUUUCAAGAUGAGAUAAAUCGAAAUAAUGGUUGUAUGUUAGAAGGACAGAGAAUACGAAGAAAUGUUAUUGCUGCAUACUUAGUGUAGUGAAAUACAAACUUCAAACAUUAUAA